rnacentral:rRNA from 1 species
UACGGGGGGAGCAAGCGUUGUCCGGAAUUACUGGGCGUAAAGAGCUCGUAGGUGGUUUGUCGCGUUGUUCGUGAAAACCGGGGGCUUAACCUUCGGCGUGCGGGCGAUACGGGCAGACUGGAGUACUGCAGGGGAGACUGGAAUUCCUGGUGUAGCGGUGGAAUGCGCAGAUAUCAGGAGGAACACCGGUGGCGAAGGCGGGUCUCUGGGCAGUAACUGACGCUGAGGAGCGAAAGCGUGGGGAGCGAACAGG